CAUUUGGUCCAUCGCGGACCCACGGAUUGUUCGAUGGGGUCGAACGGCGGUAAUGCGGGCGGCAAUAUGGCGGUCGCCGUAUUGGCAGCAUCUGAAAUUUGGUUUUGGAUCUUGGGGGAGAAAACAAAAGUAUUAAAAUCGCGGCUUGUAGUGAGAACAAAAAACCCAGGUGAAUUUGCACUGCAUUCACAGCUGGCACUGAAGGACAUUCUUUGGGAGCAGAUAAUAGUUAACACCAUACUCCUGCUGAUGUCAGCGGUUGCCAAAGACCAUUAGAAAUUGGCUGCUUGCAAUUCAUAAAUUGUCUAGCUUCAUAGGUAGAAGGCAGCUUCUCAAGCUCCAUUUCUUUUCUGUAAAGAAACCUGUGAAUUGUAUUCAUGGCCCAAGUCAUGUAAAAGGCUGCCUUUGUUGUUUAGAUUAAAGAGCUGAGUUAGCUAUAUGAAUGUAGAGCCAAAAUUAGUUGAGUAUCAAUUUUUGUUGUUGGCAUCCUAUUGCCCAUAAUACCAUAUAUUUUGUAUCACAAACAUGGUGAGUCAUCUCAUGGCCAUGCCCAAAAAAAGAUACAUUUUGCUGCUGCUGUGUUUUGGUGGCGUUUCUUCAUUUUUGCUCUUGCAAAACAAGAGCUUCUUGAAGACCCCUGAGUAUGAACCUGGAGAUAUUGAAACUACUGUACAUUGCAAGUCAAACCUUGUGGACCGGCGUCAUGUGGUGCCCCCCGCGGCCGCCGACACCAGCACCAUCUACGUGGUAACGCCGACCUACCGGCGCGUGGAGCAGGUGGCCGAGCUGACGCGCCAGGGGCAGA